rnacentral:rRNA from 1 species
CAGCCGCCGCGGGAAUACGUAGGGUGCAAGCGUUAAUCGGAAUUACUGGGCGUAAAGCGUGCGCAGGCGGCUAUGCAAGACAGAUGUGAAAUCCCCGGGCUCAACCUGGGAACUGCAUUUGUGACUGCAUGGCUAGAGUACGGUAGAGGGGGAUGGAAUUCCGCGUGUAGCAGUGAAAUGCGUAGAUAUGCGGGGGAACACCGAUGGCGAAGGCAAUCCCCUGGACCUGCACUGACGCUCAUGCACGAAAGCGUGGGGAGCAAACAGGAUUAGAUACCCCAGUAGUCCCUGUCUCUUAUAC